AAACAUAAAAUCUAACACUUCAACACUUCAAACCCUAUAUAUCACAAACAUUAAAAGACCCAAACAUUAAACUUAAACUUCUUAAAAUUGAAUCUCUUACAAUUUUUAAUCUAAAUUCUAAUAUUAAAUCUUUUCCUAAGCAUAAAAUCCAAAUUUAUGUUUCAAACUUUAAUUUCAAUUCUUAUACAUAAACCUUUUAAUCCUAUAUUCUAAUAUUUUUUUACAAAAAACACUUAAAACCUUCAUUUUAUAUUUUUACUCAUAAAACUGUAUUAUAAACAAUAAAAUAAAAUAUGAAAAUCAAUUUCUAUACAUAAAUUAAAUAAAAAUACAAACUAAGUUUCUUAUAACUUUAUUGACAAGAAAAUACAAUAUAGCAAAGAAAAGAUAAACCAAAAAUGAAAAACUCUUAUUGGCUAAUAAAAAUUGGUGGGGAUAAGCAAAACUUAAUCUCAACCGUUGGUAAACCUUAACUAGGUGAUGAAAUUUCAUUGGCUAAAGGUUGCCUCGUCUUUCUUAUUUUUCUUGUUCAUCUCAUUUUCUUCUCCUUACGGUUUACACAGAUCUUCACUUUCACUCUCUCUUUGUUUUAUUUGAUUCAUCCACCAAUUCUCACCGACCUAUCUCACCAUCCCCGACAUCUCGCGCCACCAACGUCGCGUGCUACUGCCAUAUCACCAAUGAGACAACGUCAUGAAGAGGAGGAAGAAGAUGUGACGGAGGUGGUGCAGAGAUAAAAGAGGAAGAAGAGAUGCGGCGAGGUGAAUGGGACGAGCUUGCGGUGAUGGAUCCAGCGGAGACAAUGAAUCUUCAGAUCUGAAGAAUCUGUGGUGUGGAUAUGGCAGAAGUUAGUGUCGUGGUGUGGAGGUGGAGCCAAGCACGAAGAAGAUAGAGGUGGCGGCUAGAUGAUUGAAGAUGGGGUUUAGAAAUUUAGGUUUAGUUUCUAUUUUUUUCAAAAUUUGGUUUAGCUUGGUUUAGUUUAGUUUAGUUUAAUAUACCAAUCCUUAAAUAUGUAAUAUCGAUAUAUUAAAAUUUUUAAAUAUUUUUAUUUGUA